UACCCAUUCCCGACACGGGGAGGUAGUGACGAAAAAUAACAAUACAGGACUCUAACGAGGCCCUGUAAUUGGAAUGAGUACAUUCUAAAACCUUUAACGAGUAUCCAUUGGAGGGCAAGUCUGGUGCCAGCAGCCGCGGUAAUUCCAGCUCCAACAGUGUAUGCUAAAGUUGUUGCGGUUGAAAAGCUCGUAGUUGGAUCUAGGGUGGGCGCCGCCGGUCCGUCGCAAGGCGUGUCACUGGCGGCGUCUGCCUUGCCUUCGGUUCUCCGUCGGUGCUCUUGACUGAGUGUCGGCGGUGGCCGAUAAGUUUACUUUGAAAAAAUUAGAGUGUUCAAAGCAGGCUGUUCGCCUGCAUAGUGUUGCAUGGAAUAAUGGAAUAGGACCUCGGUUCUAUUUUGUUGGUUUUCGGAGCACGAGGUAAUGAUUAAGAGGGACAGACGGGGGCGUCCGUACUCUGCCGUUAGAGGUGAAAUUCUUGGAUCGGCGGAAGACGAACUACUGCGAAAGCAUUCGCCAAGAAUGUUUUCUUUAAUCAAGAGCGAAAGUCAGAGGUUCGAAGACGAUCAGAUACCGUCCUAGUUCUGACUAUAAACGAUGCCAACUAGCGAUCGGGAGGCGUUACCAUGACGACCUUCCCGGCAGCUUCCGGGAAACCAAAGUCUUUGGGUUCUGGGGGAAGUAUGGUUGCAAAGCUGAAACUUAAAGGAAUUGACGGAAGGGCACCACCAGGAGUGGAGCCUGCGGCUUAAUUUGACUCAACACGGGGAAACUCACCCGGCCCGGACACAGGAAGGAUUGACAGAU
rnacentral:rRNA from 1 species